rnacentral:rRNA from 1 species
UACGUAGGGCGCAAGCGUUAUCCGGAAUUAUUGGGCGUAAAGAGCUCGUAGGCGGUUUGUCGCGUCUGCUGUGAAAGACCGGGGCUCAACUCCGGUUCUGCAGUGGGUACGGGCAGACUAGAGUGAUGUAGGGGAGACUGGAAUUCCUGGUGUAGCGGUGAAAUGCGCAGAUAUCAGGAGGAACACCGAUGGCGAAGGCAGGUCUCUGGGCAUUAACUGACGCUGAGGCACGAAGGUCAGGGGAGCAAACGGG